UUAAAUUGAAGAGUUUGAUCAUGGCUCAGAUUGAACGCUGGCGGCAGGCCUAACACAUGCAAGUCGAACGGUAACAGGAAACAGCUUGCUGUUUCGCUGACGAGUGGCGGACGGGUGAGUAAUGUCUGGGAAACUGCCUGAUGGAGGGGGAUAACUACUGGAAACGGUAGCUAAUACCGCAUAACGUCGCAAGACCAAAGAGGGGGACCUUCGGGCCUCUUGCCAUCGGAUGUGCCCAGAUGGGAUUAGCUAGUAGGUGGGGUAACGGCUCACCUAGGCGACGAUCCCUAGCUGGUCUGAGAGGAUGACCAGCCACAC
rnacentral:rRNA from 1 species